CGCAUUGGCUGCUACAUCUUUGCUCUGAAACCUCAUGAGGCUGAAAGAAUGAGGCAAGAAACAGUAUUUUUGACUGAUGAGAUUUCUACUACAUUUCUGAUUUUUUUUGGGGACAAGAAAAAUGAAUUUUCUUCUGCUGGCCUUUCAGAGAGCUGGGCUGCCUGAAACCAGAGGGACAUCUUGGAUGAGGAAGGUUGGAAAGAGCACCACUGGAGCUGCCAGCACAGAUUAAUUUUAAAGGUCUGCAAGGAUGAACUUGAUGAUGAAGACAGAAAGUUGGGACUGUGAUCACUUUUCAGUUCUCCAGUCAAACACUUCUGAUGAAUCUCCUCACACAGGGAGGACUGGGCUGUGAAUUUCACAGGCUAACCCCUGCAUGCCACCCUGUGUACAAACACCAUGUGCCCAGGGCUAUCAGCAGCACUGCACCAAGAGGAGAGAAGGCACAGCUUGGCUUCAAAAGGUCACGAGAACUGCCUUGGCUCUGCAGCAAAAGAAAUGUUGGGUGGGAGACAAAACUUUCUGCUUUAAGUACUCCUGCAAUUAAAUCCUUCUGCAAAAUACAUGGUUUCUUCUAGUAAGUGGAGACUCAAGGGGUUCUGAAUUUAAAUUCACUUCCUGAGCAAAAAUGAAUUAAAACUAGUUCCAAUUUUUCUUCAUGCCAUCCUGCAAUUAUAAGGAACUUUAUCAAAACCACCAAGUAUAGAGUAAGGGGUCCUUAAAGAAACUCACAAAAUCAUUGCUGUACCUUUAUUUCAAAUAAGAGUGAGUUGGAUUUUCUACUUUAGCAAAUUAGAAUAUAUUAAUACAUUUAGCCCAAAUGCAAGGUCUUCUUAUUUUUGUAUUAAAAAUAGCAUUUUUUCUCUGUGUAUUUUCCUCCUAAUUAAAGAACAGGCAUUAAUUAAUGCAUAAGCACCAUCAAUUUGUCAAAUCAGA
rnacentral:lncRNA from 1 species